AAAAUCUAUGUUGUCUUUGUGACCCUCUGUGAGGAAACUGGAUCUAUAAUUUUUUUGUGUGAAUGUGUGUCAUUGAGACUACAUCAGAGGUGGAGGAGUCGAGUCACCUGAAUCAACAACCUGCCAGUAUGCCACAACGCCGUGCACGGGGCCACAUGAAAUGAGUACCAUGGUGGGAGCUAUGUGGAUGAUUACGUUUGGAUUCAAGAAUAAUGAUUUUGAUGAAAUCUGGGAAAAGAGAACGACAAGACGGAAAGCUUCAAAACUCAAAGCAGCAGCAGCACCACCACCACCAGUACACUCCCCACACUCAACAGAACCCCCGCUGGAAACGGGUUUGUGUUUCAGGGCCCCCGGGGGGGGGGGCUGGCAGCAGGGGCUGGAGGCCGUCAAGAGCAGGCCCCCUUCAGCCAUGGACAGCUCCUCCGCUCUCGCAGAGUCAGCAAGGGAAAGACCUGAACUUGGAAUGACCCCGCCAAGCAAAGUCCCCGAUGGGUUCAUCUGCAGGCCACAGCUCCGGUUCCCCUCACCCCUAAUUUUUUUUUUUUUUUUUUUUUUUUUGGAGGGGAGGGCAGGCUGUUUUUACAACUUGACCAAUACAUUUUCCAGAGCAACAAUAACCCCUGCUUCACUCCUCUCCCGAAGAGGAAAGGCCUGCUAAGUUUACAUCCGAUGUCCUCCUUACACCUGCCAGACGAGAUUUUACUGAGCUUAUGAUCAGCGCUUUUAUUGGUCAUAACAACAACAUUGGUUGAACUUUUUACCUUUGCUGUGUCAGCAAAAUGCAAGCAAAUGUGUGAUUUCAGAGCAGAACUCCCUUUUCUGAUGGACUUUUUCAGGAUGCUUUUUGUAUUUUUGAUGCGCAAGUGAAUAAGUUGGUCAAUUACUGGCUUUUCCUUUGCACUUAAAAUUUGGAAAAUGGGUUACUUUGUAUUAUUUUUAGCAUAAAAUGCUGUUAUACGCCCCCCCCCCCCCUUCAAGAUAUUGAGAGAUUUAGCAUUAGGUGUUACAUCUGGGCGGCAUUGUGUCUCAGCUGGUAAAGCGUAAAGCCUCACAGUUCUGAGGACCCGGGUUCGAUCCCGGCCCCGUCUGCGUGGAGUUUGCAUGUUCUCCCCGUGGGUGGGUUUUCUCCGGGCACUCCAGUUUGCACCAUUAAUUGGACACUCUAAAUUCCCUCUCGGUGUGAUUGUGAGUGCGAAUGGUUGUUCGUCUGUAUGUGCCCUGCGAUUGGCUGGCAACCAGUUCAGGGUGUACCCCGCCUCCUGCCCGUUGGCAGCUGGGAUA